UUUCUAAAAGAAAAGGUAUAUGUAAUAGUACAUAAUAGAGUAACAAUUGUAACUCAAGUCUUUUUUUUUCCUUUUUACUCAAAGCAUAAACCAGACACAAUACGUUAUACCAGAUUAACAUGCAACUUAAAAAGAGGUUAAUGUACAUACUAAGCAUGGAAAUUCACCAGUAAAAUCUCAUUUGUCAUUUUACCCCCACUACCUUGACAUUAUUCUUCCAUUUCAUAAUCAACAAGGUUCUACUUCUGGUCACCUGAUAAAUGCCUUGCAUUCCUGGAGCUUGACAUUUCAGUCAAUUAUGGACACAAGAACAAUGUUACAAGCAUAAAGAAAAAAUGCAUCUACGAAACAGCUGACUGCACUGCUUUCAAUGGAAAGGUCCUGAAGCAUUAUUUCCCUAAACACCUAACACAUCAGCACUGACCAAAUAAAAACCACCCAAGCACUCUAAAAUUCUCACUUUUUCAAACAUUCCUUGUGUGUAAAAUUUUCUAAGCAUACAGAGAAACACAAGUUCACAAAAUGAUAAAAAGAUAAGACAAAAUUUCUGCCUCUUCUUGAAUGCAAAUCUUGAGUCAAAACCUUUUAUUGUUUUGGAAAUUCAAAUACAAGAAACCUAAGGUUUUCUUAUUUGCUUGUCAAUAUGCAUAGAGCCCAAUUGGCAGGGAUGGAGAGGGGACGGGGGAAGGUGUUAUACAAACAGACUAGGUGGAACCCAUUUUUACCUAGGCUUCUCUAGGACAAUAUGAUAAACAAGAAAGAUUAGUAUCUACUAGAAGAAUUUGUCAUAUUUAAAAUCAAUAUGAUUAGUAAAAUGUAUUUUAAGUACAAAUUAAAAUGAUUAGUAUACAUUUCUCUCAUCUCUAGCAAACAAGAGAGCCCUCAUUAGACAUAGCUGCCUCCUCAAUGCUGUAUCUUGGACAUUAGCCUAAAAAAAUAUCUUUAAAAGUGCUUUGCAGGUAUCACCUCAUCUCAUGGAACCAUAGAGGGAUCUAAGAAAAGGCUACUCCAAUCUAAAGGACUAUUUUCAAGCAAAAAUAGAGGAAUUCUGUGUAUCAUCAAUGAAAGAAGUUUAGGGGAAGGGUAUAGUACAUAUUACAAUAAUUUAAAAUCAUACGCACAUUUCACUUUCCAUGCACGAUGAUUUUAACAUGAAACAAUGUAACUAUACAUCACUGAAAAUACAAUCAAGCUUUGCCCCAGAACUUACAGCCACUCUCUAUAGUCAGUUAAGAAAAACCCUGGAAGAAUAUAUGAUAAAUGUAUUCAGAUUCUAUUAGUUUUAUUUGUAAGCAGAUUCUAAACAAAGAGGAUGAAUUUGGGCACAUAUACACAUGCACAAAUGAAAUGGUUCAACAUCUAAAUGAUAUGACACAAAAUUACCACUAUGAGAAUCAAGAGGCUACUCUUAUGCAAGCAACAAACUUUUACUUAUGAUUUCAAACAUACAGUUUAAUUUUCUGUUAAAACUGUUUUAAAAAACAGUACUAGGGUUCAGUUUUCUAGUCUCGGCAUGAACUAAUGCCAGGGACCUAUUUGAAUUAGGAAAGAGACAAAAUGGUGUGAUUCGUGCUUCAUUACAUCAUGGUUUGUUGAGGGUUAGGUGAAUAUCUUCCAUUUCAAGACUUUUUAUUUAGGCCAGGCGCGGUGGCUCACACCUGUAAUCCCACCACUUUAGGAGGUUGAGGCGGGCAGAUUACGAGGUCAGGAGAUUGAGACCAUCCUGGCUAACACGGUGAAACCCCAUCUCUACUAAAAAUACAAAACAUUAGCCGGGCGUAGUGGCAGGCGCCUGCAGUCCCAGCUACUUGUGAGGCUGAGGCAGGACAACCGGCGUGAACCCAGGAGGCAGAGGUUGCAGUGAGCCGAGAUCGCGCCACUGCACUCCAGCCUGGACGACAAAGUGAGACUC
ensembl:lncRNA novel transcript, antisense to ARL5A